UUGACCUCGGAUCAGGUAGGGAUACCCGCUGAACUUAAGCAUAUCAAUAAGCGGAGGAAAAGAAACCAACAGGGAUUGCCUCAGUAACGGCGAGUGAAGCGGCAACAGCUCAAAUUUGAAAUCUGCCUCUAGGCCGAGUUGUAAUUUGUAGAAGAUGCUUCGGGUGUGGCACUGGUCUAAGUUCCUUGGAACAGGACGUCAUAGAGGGUGAGAAUCCCGUACGUGACUGGCUGCCUUCGCCUAUGUGAAGCUCUUUCGACGAGUCGAGUUGUUUGGGAAUGCAGCUCAAAAUGGGUGGUAUAUUUCAUCUAAAGCUAAAUAUUGGCCAGAGACCGAUAGCGCACAAGUAGAGUGAUCGAAAGAUGAAAAGCACUUUGGAAAGAGAGUUAAACAGUACGUGAAAUUGUUGAAAGGGAAGCGCUUGCAAUCAGACUUGCGCGCCGUCGAUCAUCCGAGGUUUUCCCCGGUGCACUCGGCGGUGCUCAGGCCAGCAUCGGUUUCGGUGGUUAGAUAAAGGCCUUGGGAAUGUAGCUCCCCCGGGAGUGUUAUAGCCCUCGGUGCAAUGUAGCCUAUCGGGACCGAGGACCGCGCU
rnacentral:rRNA from 1 species